rnacentral:rRNA from 1 species
AGUGAACGCUGGCGGUAGGCCUAACACAUGCAAGUCGAACGGCAGCACAGUAAGAGCUUGCUCUUACGGGUGGCGAGUGGCGGACGGGUGAGGAAUACAUCGGAAUCUACUUUUUCGUGGGGGAUAACGUAGGGAAACUUACGCUAAUACCGCAUACGACCUACGGGUGAAAGCAGGGGAUCUUCGGACCUUGCGCGGUUGAAUUAGCCGAUGUCGGAUUAGCUAGUUGGCGGGGUAAAUGCCCACCAAGGCGACGAUCCGUAGCUGGUCUGAGAGGCGGGUCAGCGACCCUGGAACUUGACCGGCGUCCUUGCUCCUGCGGGAGGCAGCAGAGGGGAAUGUGAGGCAGUAGGCGCGAACCUUGCCCAACCGUCCCGCGUCUGAUGAGGAGGCCUUCCGGUCGUAAAGCCCUUUUUUUGGGAGAGAAACGCAGCAGCUUGUUACCCCGCUGUUCUGACGGUACCCAAAGAAUAAGCACCGGCUAACUUCGUG